rnacentral:rRNA from 1 species
UUGUGCCUACGGGAGGCAGCAGUGAGGAAUAUUGGUCAAUGGGCGCGAGCCUGAACCAGCCAAGUCGCGUGAGGGAAGACGGUCCUAUGGAUUGUAAACCUCUUUUGUCGGGGAGCAAAAGACGCCACGCGUGGCGUUCCGAGAGUACCCGAAGAAAAAGCAUCGGCUAACUCCGUGCCAGCAGCCGCGGUAAUACGGAGGAUGCGAGCGUUAUCCGGAUUUAUUGGGUUUAAAGGGUGCGUAGGCGGAAUAUCAAGUCAGCGGUAAAAAUUCGGGGCUCAACCCCGUCGUGCCGUUGAAACUGA